rnacentral:tRNA from 1 species
GGGUCGGUGCCCGAGUGGUUAAUGGGGACGGACUGUAAAUCCGUUGGUUAAACCUACGUUGGUUCAAAUCCAACCCGGCCCA